AAUCAACACUCCACUCAGACAAUGCCCAGACCUCCAGAAACCAUGUGUCAAGCUCGGAUUGCCUUAGACAGGUGCAAUUUAAGAACAGCUUUCAUCCUCUUUUCUCUCAUAUUGUCACACUAUGUGUUCUGACUUCUGGCUCCUUUCCUCACAAGAAGCUCACCCAGCUGGAACUCUUAUGGGACCUUGGCACCAGAGACCACAAAUUCCUCUUUGAAGUUUUCUAACAGCAACAAUGGUAUUUCUGACUUGGCUUUCUUGUAUUUCUCUCACGUUAACAAAAUUGGUUCAGCAUCUACCAUGGGCUACAUGCUGAGCUACAGAGUUUCGCUCUGUCGCCCAGGCUGGAGUGCAGUGGCGCGCGAUCUCGGUUCACUGCAAGCUCCACCUCCCGGGUUCACGCCAUUCUCCUGCCUCAGCCUCCUGAGUAGCUGGGACUACAGGCGCCCGCCACCACACCCAGGAAUCCAACUUGCUGUUUGCUAUCACAUGUGCUAUACAUGCUGUUGAUGAAACUGCUAAAGGGGCUGAAUGUGACUGACGUCUUUGGAAGGAUGAGACUUAGCGUGCCUGUACAGUUGUGUCCAAAUGCUGUCCUCAUCUCCCAAUGAAAAGCAUUGCCAGCAGCAUUCAGUACAUUCAGAACAGGAUAAUUUCACCCGCAGCUGAACUAGGGCCAUGCCUGGGACAGACAGAGAAUGGCCUUCCAGCAGACAUGCCAAGAAGCAAGCCAGGGUCAGUGAGUGAAGAGGAGGGCAGGCCCAUUUGAAGCAACACAGUUUAUGUAAGUGUGAUCUAACUGCUUUCACUGGAAAUGGGUCAGACUCCAGUUGAGAGAACCAGGGGCCUGAAUGACCCCAGCAAAAUCACUGUGGCAAUUCUUUCAAUCACCUCUGAGAAUAUGGCCCUGUGACGACAUAAUGACGUUUGGAUUAAUUCCAGUCGGCUGUGUUUUCCCCUCCUUUCUUGCCUCCCCGUAGUUGAUUUGCCAAAUUUUUUUUGUUUGCUUAAAUACGCGGAACUAAACAGGAUACAUUAUAUGACAGUCUGUGAUAAAUUUACCACUGGGAAUAGGGAAAAAGUAUGGGAUAAAGAAAUAGGUAUUUUUCGCCUCUCACAGCUGUGAUUCAGUUCUGACUCAAAAGGAAGUGUGCCACCUACUGAAUCACAGAAACCACUUCCUGUGGCUGUUUGGUUUAUUCUGGAGGAGCAUCAGGCCAAGUGCUGCCCUGCCCUGACCCUGACUGGCUCUUCAGAGCCAAGGCAUUCACAGCUUGAGGUGGUUUGGCCUCAGACUCUUGAGAACAUUGCAUAUUAAAUUACAAGUGUUUCGUUUCCUAGCAAGGAGUCUUUAGCAACAUGAAAACGAACGUGUGUUAUUUGCAAACCAAGUAUAUCAUUACUGAACCUGAAUAUCCUUACUUUUUCAUAAGGUACGUAUUCCGGAUGACCACUCUUAAGAUCUGAAUGUACACUGGUUCUGUUUUUCCUGAGGGGAACUUGGGCAGUCUGCAGGGUGGCAUUUACCAGCUGAGGGACUUCAAGAGCACCCUUUAAUCAGUGUGGCAGCACUCAACUUGUAUUCACUCACUCAGAGUAUUUUUGAGCAUGUACUUAUUGCCAUGUGCUGUGCUAGGUAGGGGUAGAGGGUACAGUGGUGAACAAGACCCCACAGCUCCUGACCUCAUGGCUCAUGUGUUCUACACCAUAAGGGAAUCAAGCUGUGUCUCCCGGGGCAGGGGCCUUCCUCUGUUCACCAUGCAGCCCCAGCAUCUAGCACCUGGCGUUGCAUAAAGGAGGCUCUAAAUCAAGCUUGUCCAACCCAAGGCCCACGGGCCACAUGUGGCCCAGGAUGGCUUUGAAUGCAGCCAAACACAAAUUUGUAAACUUUCUUAAAACAUUAUAAGAUUUGUGUGUAUGUGUUUUAGUCCAUCAGCUAUUGUUAGUGUUCAUGUAUUUUAUGUGUGGCCCAAGACAAUUCUUCUAUGUGGCCCAAGGAAACCAAAGAUUGAACACUCCUGCUCUAAAUACUUGUUUGUUGAAUAGAUACAUGAAAAGAAAGAAGGAGAGAAGGAAGAAAGGAGGGCGGAAGGAAAGGAAGAAGGGAGAGAAGAAGAGAAGAAAGAAGCAGAGAAAGGAAGAGAAAAGAAAUUACGGCCAGUGCGGUGGCUCACGCCUGUAAUCCUAGCACUUUGGGAGGCCUAAGCGGGCUGAUCACCUGAGGUCAGGAGUUCGUAAGCCAGCCUGGCCAACAUGGUGAAACCCUAUCUCUACUAAAAAUACAAAAAUCAGCAGGGCAUGGUGGUGCGUGCCUGUAAUCCCAGCUACCUGGGAGGCUGAGGUAGGAGAAUCGCUGGAACCCGAGAGGCGGAGGCUGCAGUGAGUUGAGAUCAUGUCACUGCACUCCAGGCUGGGCAACAGAGUGAGACUCUGUCUCAGAAAAAAAAAAAAAGAAAGAAAGAAAGAAAGAAAGUUACCAUUAGUUUUUUGUUGUAUUUGCAAGCAAAGACAAAAGCACCAAGGAACAAAACCCAUCAGAAGAUGUCAGAAGAUAAGGAUUUUUGUCCUGAUGCUACACUUACCAGCUGUCCCUCAGUGUUCUACUUCUUAAAAAAAGAGAGAUGGAUAAACAGAGGCAACCCGAGGAUAAAGGCCUUGCUCAGUGUCACACAUUUCAGUCACUAAAUAAGACACAAUGGAUGCCAGUAUUCUCAUCCCCUCACAAAUAAAGAGCCUUCAAGCUCUUGCAGUCAACAAGAACUUUUGGAAUGAUUUCACUGCCUGAAAAGGCAGAUACAUAGGUGACACCCACAAAUAGGAAGAAAAUCAACCUGAACCUGAGUGUGUGGGCUCACUGACUCUAAGCAGUAGAGACAGAAGAAAAAGUUUUAGCAAAGAAGGGUUCUGAAAGAAAAUAAAUAUAGCUCGUUAUCAAGUGCUGUUUUUACACAGUAAAACAUGGGCAAAAUUACUCUUCUUUAAGUAGUAAUUCUUAUCUCUUGAUUAAGUCACCUACUCAUUCAUUUAAUAAAUACAUACUGAUUGUUUUCUAUGUGUUGAGCACUCAUCUCUGUAUUGGAAAUAUAAUAAUGACCAAAGUUGACAAUAGUAAUAACAAUAAUAGCUAAUAUAGCAGGCACUAAUAAUUAUUUGUUGAGUAAUAUGUCAAAAUUCAGUGUGAACAGCAUUCUAUUUGGGGCUGCAUCCACUGACUAUAACACAGCUAAUCUAUCUGAAAUGUUCCAGCUUUGGGCCUCUCUAACAGAAGAAGCUGUUGUUGGGCCUGCCUCUAGUUGGCGAUGCAUCCACCAAUGAGAAUGAAUUUAUGAUCGACCACUCUUCCUGUAAAGGCCGCUGGAACUGACAGCAUUGUGAUUUUCUUUUACUGUUAGUUUUAAAUUACUAGAACCAACUCAAUUACUAGAACGAACUUUACUUCUUUGUUUCCUACUUAUCAAAACAGUAAAAACAACAAGUAAAAGAAAUGCCAUCUUAAUAUUGUUUUGAUGACAAAACAGUAUUCCUUUUAGUUGUGCUUCAAAUGGAAUAAGAUGCAAACAGGCUUGGUAUGGUGGCUCACCCCUGUAAUCCCAGCCCUUUGGGAGGCCAAGGUGGAAGGAUUGCUUGAGGCCAUGAGUUUGAGACCAGCCUGCGCAACAUAGCAAGACCGUGUCUCUACAAAAAAUAAAAAAUUAGCUGAGUGUAGUGGUGUGUGCUUGUGGUCCCAGCUACUUUUGAGGCUGAGGAGGGAGAAUCUCUUGAGCCCAGAAGGUCGAAGUUGCAGUGAGCCGUGAUCGUGCCAUUGCUCUCCAGCUUGGACAACAAAGCAAGACCCUAUGUCAAAAAAUAAAUAAAUAAAAGACAUAAACAUAUCUGAGAUUAACUUUCAGUGGUAAAUUUGUUCCAUAUAUGAUUUUUAAGGUUAAAUGCUUUGGAAGCUUUAAAAACCAUUUCAGCCCUUUUAAAUGCCAACUUACACUGAUGAUGCUCUCAGAUGUUAGGAAAUCUUUUGAGCAGAAAAUGGAAGUGGGGGUGUUGAGGCAGGGAGGAGAGUGAUGCAAUAUUCCUUAGUGUCAUCCUGUGAUUUCACAAUUUGUUUUUCAAUCUGUUUGGACUUUCAAAAGGGAAGACUCUCAUAUGUCAACAAGCCCAUGAACUGAAGCUUAAAACACUGGAAACAACAACUGUAGAGUUUCAAGUAUAUGUACAUUUAUGUAUUCAUGUUCCUUGAUGGGAAUGCUGGCUGGUGUGAAUGUUCAAUCUCCUGAGAAAUGUAAAUUUUUCUCUGACAGAUUUAUUAGCUUGCUGUAUCUGAGCACAUGAGCAAAAACAAUGCCUAAUAAGAAAACUUUCUCUCUCCUUCAAAGUCAAACUUGGGAGAAAUGAAGGGAAAUCGAGUUUUCUUUGCUUGACAGUGUUCAACAUUCUUGUAGUCAGUGUGCUCAUGAAGAUUGCAAACUUUUUUUUUUUUUUAGAGCAGCUAGGACUACAGGCGCGCACCACCACACCCAGCUAAUUUGUGUAUUUUUAGUAGAGAUGGGGUUUUAACUAUGUUGGCCAAGCUUGUCUCAAACUCCUGACCUCAAGUGAUCCAUUCGACAGCUCUUUCUUUUUUUUUUUUUUUUUUGAGACAAAGUCUCGCUCUGUCACCCAGGCUGGAGUGCAGUGGUAUGAUCUCAGCUCACUGCAACCUCCGCCUCCUGGGUUCAAGCAAUUCUCAUGCCUUAGCCUCCCGAAU
rnacentral:lncRNA from 1 species